CUACGUGCCAGCAGCCGCGGUAAUACGUAGGGUGCGAGCGUUAAUCGGAAUUACUGGGCGUAAAGCGGGCGCAGACGGUUACUUAAGCAGGAUGUGAAAUCCCCGGGCUCAACCUGGGAACUGCGUUCUGAACUGGGUGACUAGAGUGUGUCAGAGGGAGGUAGAAUUCCACGUGUAGCAGUGAAAUGCGUAGAGAUGUGGAGGAAUACCGAUGGCGAAGGCAGCCUCCUGGGAUAACACUGACGUUCAUGCCCGAAAGCGUGGGUAGCAAACAGGAUUAGAUACCCUGGUAGUCCACGCCGUAAACGAUGAGUGCUAAGUGUUGGGUCCUUUCCGGGACUCAGUGCCGCAGCUAACGCAUUAAGCACUCCGCCUGGGGAGUACGACCGCAAGGUUGAAACUCAAAGGAAUUGACGGGGGCCCGCACAAGCGGUGGAGCAUGUGGUUUAAUUCGAAGCAACGCGAAGAACCUUACCAG
rnacentral:rRNA from 1 species